AUCAUCUUGAAGGUCUCCCAGAACGAGGCGUGAAUACCUCGGUCCUGAGAAGAGCUGUGAGAGAGAAGUGGCUCUAGGUGCCUGGGACAGUUCCUACCUGUCAUCACCGAUGAAGACACCAUCGCUUCCUCAGGCUUUGGGACGAGCUGCCAUCCAAGCCAAGCCUAAUGCAUCGUCUGCGAGUUAUUUGGGGGUCAAAGCUGCCAUUAACAUGAAUGUGAGACCAGGAGAAGCCUUGGAGCACAGCCAGUGCUACAGAAAGGAUGGAAGUUUGCUCUGUGCACAGGAGGGCAGCUCUCGGUCCAUCGGCACCUUCAGAAACGAGGCUCAUUUCAAACCUCAGGAAAGCAGUGGGUGGUGGCUACUGUGUCAGAGCAAAAGUAGGACUGGAUGGGGUGGCUCUGGGGAAAGGAGUAGGUGCACCAGAGGCAAUGACUUGCCCCAGGUCACACCCCUGGGGUGGAAGGGCCAUGGUCCAGCCCGGCAGUCACCGUCCUGAGCCUCCUGGCAUCUGGAAGGUGGAAUAAACAUGUGAACGAGAAGCUAUUAAAUUUG
rnacentral:lncRNA from 1 species